GGUUAAAAUGAAAGUUAAGGUACCUAGCUUUUACUGUUUUCAUGAUUUACUUGCUAUUGAUCCUUAUUUUUCUAUGGUCUUGUUAGAUAUAAGAGCUGGAAAGAAAAGAGAUUUCUUGUUGCAUGAUGGGUAUCUUAUUAGAGGGAAUCAACUUUGUGUUCUAGAUUGUAGCUUGCGUUUGCAAACAAUCAGAGUGUUGCAUGGCGAAGGACAU
rnacentral:lncRNA from 1 species